UACGGGGGGAGCAAGCGUUGUUCGGAUUUACUGGGCGUAAAGGGCGCGUAGGCGGUCGUGACAAGUCGCUUGUGAAAUCUCCGGGCUUAACUCGGAACGGUCAAGUGAUACUGUCGGACUAGAGUACGGAAGAGGCGAGUGGAAUUCCUGGUGUAGCGGUGAAAUGCGCAGAUAUCAGGAGGAACACCAAUUGCGAAGGCAGCUCGCUGGGACGUUACUGACGCUGAGACGCGAAAGCGUGGGGAGCAAACAGG
rnacentral:rRNA from 1 species